rnacentral:rRNA from 1 species
UACGUAGGGUCGCAAGCGUUGUCCGGAGUUAUUGGGCGUAAAGCGCGCGCAGGCGGCCUCGCGCGCCGACGUGAAAGCCCCCGGCUUAACCGGGGAGGGUCGUUGGGGACGGCGGGGCUUGAGGGCGGGAGAGGGUGGUGGAAUUCCCGGUGUAGUGGUGAAAUGCGUAGAGAUCGGGAGGAACACCCGUGGCGAAGGCGGCCCGACCUGGGGCCGGAACCCCUGGACCGC